GUAUCCUGUCUGAAUAUGGGGGGACCAUCCUCCAAGGCUAAAUACUCCUGACUGACCGAUAGUGAACCAGUACCGUGAGGGAAAGGCGAAAAGAACCCCGGCGAGGGGAGUGAAAAAGAACCUGAAACCGUGUACGUACAAGCAGUGGGAGCACGCUUAGGCGUGUGACUGCGUACCUUUUGUAUAAUGGGUCAGCGACUUAUAUUCUGUAGCAAGGUUAACCGAAUAGGGGAGCCGAAGGGAAACCGAGUCUUAACUGGGCGUUAAGUUGCAGGGUAUAGACCCGAAACCCGGUGAUCUAGCCAUGGGCAGGUUGAAGGUUGGGUAACACUAACUGGAGGACCGAACCGACUAAUGUUGAAAAAUUAGCGGAUGACUUGUGGCUGGGGGUGAAAGGCCAAUCAAACCGGGAGAUAGCUGGUUCUCCCCGAAAGCUAUUUAGGUAGCGCCUCGUGAAUUCAUCUCCGGGGGUAGAGCACUGUUUCGGCAAGGGGGUCAUCCCGACUUACCAACCCGAUGCAAACUGCGAAUACCGGAGAAUGUUAUCACGGGAGACACACGGCGGGUGCUAACGUCCGUCGUGAAGAGGGAAACAACCCAGACCGCCAGCUAAGGUCCCAAAGUCAUGGUUAAGUGGGAAACGAUGUGGGAAGGCCCAGACAGCCAGGAUGUUGGCUUAGAAGCAGCCAUCAUUUAAAGAAAGCGUAAUAGCUCACUGGUCGAGUCGGCCUGCGCGGAAGAUGUAACGGGGCUAAACCAUGCACCGAAGCUGCGGCAGCGACGCUUAUGCGUUGUUGGGUAGGGGAGCGUUCUGUAAGCCUGCGAAGGUGUGCUGUGAGGCAUGCUGGAGGUAUCAGAAGUGCGAAUGCUGACAUAAGUAACGAUAAAGCGGGUGAAAAGCCCGCUCGCCGGAAGACCAAGGGUUCCUGUCCAACGUUAAUCGGGGCAGGGUGAGUCGACCCCUAAGGCGAGGCCGAAAGGCGUAGUCGAUGGGAAACAGGUUAAUAUUCCUGUACUUGGUGUUACUGCGAAGGGGGGACGGAGAAGGCUAUGUUGGCCGGGCGACGGUUGUCCCGGUUUAAGCGUGUAGGCUGGUUUUCCAGGCAAAUCCGGAAAAUCAAGGCUGAGGCGUGAUGACGAGGCACUACGGUGCUGAAGCAACAAAUGCCCUGCUUCCAGGAAAAGCCUCUAAGCAUCAGGUAACAUCAAAUCGUACCCCAAACCGACACAGGUGGUCAGGUAGAGAAUACCAAGGCGCUUGAGAGAACUCGGGUGAAGGAACUAGGCAAAAUGGUGCCGUAACUUCGGGAGAAGGCACGCUGAUAUGUAGGUGAAGUCCCUCGCGGAUGGAGCUGAAAUCAGUCGAAGAUACCAGCUGGCUGCAACUGUUUAUUAAAAACACAGCACUGUGCAAACACGAAAGUGGACGUAUACGGUGUGACGCCUGCCCGGUGCCGGAAGGUUAAUUGAUGGGGUUAGCCGCAAGGCGAAGCUCUUGAUCGAAGCCCCGGUAAACGGCGGCCGUAACUAUAACGGUCCUAAGGUAGCGAAAUUCCUUGUCGGGUAAGUUCCGACCUGCACGAAUGGCGUAAUGAUGGCCAGGCUGUCUCCACCCGAGACUCAGUGAAAUUGAACUCGCUGUGAAGAUGCAGUGUACCCGCGGCAAGACGGAAAGACCCCGUGAACCUUUACUAUAGCUUGACACUGAACAUUGAGCCUUGAUGUGUAGGAUAGGUGGGAGGCUUGGAAGUGUGGACGCCAGUCUGCAUGGAGCCGACCUUGAAAUACCACCCUUUAAUGUUUGAUGUUCUAACGUUGACCCGUAAUCCGGGUUGCGGACAGUGUCUGGUGGGUAGUUUGACUGGGGCGGUCUCCUCCUAAAGAGUAACGGAGGAGCACGAAGGUUGGCUAAUCCUGGUCGGACAUCAGGAGGUUAGUGCAAUGGCAUAAGCCAGCUUGACUGCGAGCGUGACGGCGCGAGCAGGUGCGAAAGCAGGUCAUAGUGAUCCGGUGGUUCUGAAUGGAAGGGCCAUCGCUCAACGGAUAAAAGGUACUCCGGGGAUAACAGGCUGAUACCGCCCAAGAGUUCAUAUCGACGGCGGUGUUUGGCACCUCGAUGUCGGCUCAUCACAUCCUGGGGCUGAAGUAGGUCCCAAGGGUAUGGCUGUUCGCCAUUUAAAGUGGUACGCGAGCUGGGUUUAGAACGUCGUGAGACAGUUCGGUCCCUAUCUGCCGUGGGCGCUGGAGAACUGAGGGGGGCUGCUCCUAGUACGAGAGGACCGGAGUGGACGCAUCACUGGUGUUCGGGUUGUCAUGCCAAUGGCACUGCCCGGUAGCUAAAUGCGGAAGAGAUAAGUGCUGAAAGCAUCUAAGCACGAAACUUGCCCCGAGAUGAGUUCUCCCUGACCC
rnacentral:rRNA from 1 species